AUGCCAGGGCGGUGUCGUCUCCCGCUCCGGAGCCGAGGAGGGCCGGCGGCAGCAGCAGCAGCAAGUGGCGCCGCGGUGAUCAUCGGGUACAUCGGCGAGGCACGGGCGGCUCUCGCGGCCGCGGCGCCGCGGGACGGCGACGGAGGGGAUGACUCGGCGGCGGCGGCCGCGCUCGGGCUGGUCGCCGCGGUGCUGGAGGUGUCGCCACGCAUGGAGGCCGCGCUGGAGCUCCGGGCGCGCGCGCUGCUCGCGCUCCGCCGCUACCGGAUGCUGCGGAAGCAUCAGAACGACAUCGUAUUUGGUGGAGCGACUCUUUCAUUUCCACGAACCGUUCAACGAAUCAGGGAGGAAGGCAGGCCAUGGGCAAAGACGGGACUAAUAAAGGGUGAUGUAAAAGGGUUUGAGGCCGCGGACACCACGUGGGCUGAUGAGGAGUGCUUCACCUAG
rnacentral:rRNA from 1 species